GGCAGACUAUAGUCUAGUGGUUAAGGUACAUGACUGGGACACUUGAGGUUGAGUUCAAGCCCCAGUCCUGCCA